rnacentral:rRNA from 1 species
GAUGAACGCUGGCGGCGUGCCUAAUACAUGCAAGUCGAACGGACAGACGAUGCGCUUGCUCCGCUGACGUUAGGGGCGGGCGAGUGAGUAACACGUGGAUCACCUCCCUAUAAUACUGGUAGAACUCCGGGAAAAAGGCGGUAAUACCGGAUAAUCUAUUUAACCGCAUGGUUCAAUAGUGAAAGACGGUGUUGGGGCCACUUAUAGAUGGAUCUGCGCGGCAUUGGCUGGUUGGUAAGGGAAAGGCCUACCAAGGGGACGAUGCGUAGCCGAGCUGAGAGGCGGGUCGGCGACCUUGGAGGUGGACCGCGGACAAGACUCCUACGGGAGGCAGCAGUAGGGAAUCUGCCGCAGUGGGCGAGAGCCUGACGGAGCGGGGCCACGUCAGUGAUGAAGGUCUCCGGAUCGUGAUACUCUGUUAUUGGGGAAGAACAACUGUGUAAGUAACUAUACACGUCUUGACGGUACCUAAUCAGAAAGCCACGGCUAACUACGUG